GUCACGCAGGUUCCUCAACAAGAGAAGGAGAGGACGCGGAAGAGGCCAACACGGAGGGGGAGGAAGAAAUCAAGACUAUCCAACCACACGGAGCAGGACCAGAACAAGGCUGUGAUCAACAUUUCUGGAGAACCCCUUUCUGAUGAUUGCAUAAGGGCAUCUACAUCGGAAGGCCUGGUACAAGCAAAACAUCUCUCCAACUACAGACACCAGUGUCUCAGAUUGGAAUGUCCACAGUACAAGGUGUUCUACAUUGGAAGGACAAAGAGACGCCUUCAAGACCGCUUAGUGGAACACAAGUACGCCAUACGCGUAGGCAAUGAAGACUACCCAUUGGCAAGGCACUACAAGUCCCUACACCAUGGCAACCCUGCCUCCCUACAAGCUAUGGGUAUUGAUCAUAUUCCGGCCUCUUAUUAGAAAAGGGGACCGUCUUAAACAGUUAAACGAAAGGGAAAGUUUUUGGAUUUACAAACUACAGGCCACUAAAUACCCUGGUUUAAAUGAAGAUAUGGAUUUCUCACCCUUCCUAUAGGGUUGUGAUGGGUCUAUUUGCUGUCAUCCAGUGGACAUUUUGCUUAAUUUGCCCUCAGCUAUGGUUAGACUGUUGUUGUUCAUGUUUUGCUGUGUUCUAGUGUACUAUGGUAUAUUUAGCUUUCUUAUUCUUGACACUUCUCCCAGUCAUAUUUAAGGUUAGAACUACCUUUUAGUCUUCUGAUACUUCUAGCUUGGAGUUGUAUUUUUAUGAUAACUUAGCUACAGUAUUUAACCUUUUAAUGUGUAUAGUAUUGCUUACUAGGUGUGUCCAAUCAAUUUUGUAACCACUCCCUCUUCCAUUUAGGGCUAAUUGGAAAAGCUGUUCAAAAGAGGUCAUAGUAUUCCUUUUUUUGUACUCCCUGACGAAGGCCAUGCUGCCGAAAUGCGUCGGUUUAAAAAAAACGUUGUUUCUAUUGAACAUGCCAUACUAAUAAAGGCAUUUAAAUUAAUUAUAUGAA